rnacentral:rRNA from 1 species
GGGUUAGUCGGGUCCUAAGCUGAGGCCGACAGGCGUAGGCGAUGGAUAACAGGUUGAUAUUCCUGUACCACCUAGUAUCGUUUUAAUCGAUGGGGGGACGCAGUAGGAUAGGCGAAGCGUGCUGUUGGAGUGCACGUCCAAGCAGUAAGGCUGAGUGUUAGGCAAAUCCGGCACUCAUAAGGCUGAGCUGUGAUGGGGAGAGGAAAUUGUUUCCUCGAGUCGUUGAUUUCACACUGCCGAGAAAAGCCUCUAGAUAGAUAACAGGUGCCCGUACCGCAAACCGACACAGGUAGUCAAGAUGAGAAUUCUAAGGUGAGCGAGCGAACUCUCGUUAAGGAACUCGGCAAAAUGACCCCGUAACUUCGGGAGAAGGGGUGCUCUUUAGGGUUCACGCCCAGAAGAGCCGCAGUGAAUAGGCCCAAGCGACUGUUUAUCAAAAACACAGGUCUCUGCUAAACCGUAAGGUGAUGUAUAGGGGCUGACGCCUGCCCGGUGCUGGAAGGUUAAGAGGAGUGGUUAGCUUCUGCGAAGCUACGAAUCGAAGCCCCAGUAAACGGCGGCCGUAACUAUAACGGUCCUAAGGUAGCGAAAUUCCUUGUCGGGUAAGUUCCGACCCGCACGAAAGGCGUAACGAUUUGGGCACUGUCUCAACGAGAGACUCGGUGAAAUCAUAGUACCUGUGAAGAUGCAGGUUACCCGCGACAGGACGGAAAGACCCCGUGGAGCUUUACUGUAGCCUGAUAUUGAAAUUCGGCACAGCUUGUACAGGAUAGGUAGGAGCCUUUGAAACGUGAGCGCUAGCUUACGUGGAGGCGUUGGUGGGAUACUACCCUAGCUGUGUUGGCUUUCUAACCCGCACCACUUAUCGUGGUGGGAGACAGUGUCAGGCGGGCAGUUUGACUGGGGCGGUCGCCUCCUAAAAGGUAACGGAGGCGCUCAAAGGUUCCCUCAGAAUGGUUGGAAAUCAUUCAUAGAGUGUAAAGGCAUAAGGGAGCUUGACUGCGAGACCUACAAGUCGAGCAGGGUCGAAAGACGGACUUAGUGAUCCGGUGGUUCCGCAUGGAAGGGCCAUCGCUCAACGGAUAAAAGCUACCCCGGGGAUAACAGGCUUAUCUCCCCCAAGAGUUCACAUCGACGGGGAGGUUUGGCACCUCGAUGUCGGCUCAUCGCAUCCUGGGGCUGUAGUCGGUCCCAAGGGUUGGGCUGUUCGCCCAUUAAAGCGGUACGCGAGCUGGGUUCAGAACGUCGUGAGACAGUUCGGUCCCUAUCCGUCGUGGGCGUAGGAAAUUUGAGAGGAGCUGUCCUUAGUACGAGAGGACCGGGAUGGACAUACCUCUGGUGUACCAGUUGUCGUGCCAACGGCAUAGCUGGGUAGCUAUGUAUGGACGGGAUAAGUGCUGAAAGCAUCUAAGCAUGAAGCCCCCCUCAAGAUGAGAUUUCCCAACUUCGGUUAUAAGAUCCCUCGAAGAUGACGAGGUUAAUAGGUUCGAGGUGGAAGCGUGGUGACACGUGGAGCUGACGAAUACUAAUCGAUCGAAGACUUAAUCAAUUUUUUAAA